CCCUAUAACGAACCGCAGCGAAUUUUGCUGUAAUACAAAAUUCCUUCAAAUAUACAAUUCCUUAGAUUAAGAAAAAAACGAUCAAAUUUUUAUUGUAGACGGAUGUGCUGCCAAGGUACGAUUGCCACCAUUGAAUUCCGUUACAAGUAAAAAAAAAAGGGUUUAGGCUAGACGAAAUUUCUUACUUAAUUGAAUUGCGAUUAAUAGUACUAGUACCACAACAUAAACAUACAAUUGACAUGUGUUCUUACUAUUUACACUGAGUGGGAGAAUGCGCAAAUUAGCUUUGAGUUAGAUGUAGAAUAAAAAUGAAUAAUUGAUAGAAAGAAUAAAUAAAAGAAGAGAAAUCUGCAAACUUUUUCAAUUUAUGAAUUUUCACUUGGCGUAGACGAUAACUCAUCUAACCAGAUACUGGUGUUCAGCUGAAUAGGUAUUCCAUUACAUGCCAAGUCGCUUUUGAGAUAUUGUAGACGGACCAAAGCAAGC